GGGGAUGAGAAGGAGCAGGAGGACAUUGAUGUGUCACGUCCAGGUGAAAGUCACCGCCAGCUACCUCAGUCUGCAGGUCUUCCUCUCAAAACCAUCCAUUCAGUGAAGCCUGCAUGCGUGAGCAGCGAUUGUGACGCUGGACUUCAGCCAGACAGGAGCGAGAAGGACUGUAAAAUGAAUAAUGCAAAUUUGAAGACUCUUUCCCAGGAAGAGUUGACAAAAACUAGCAAAAAACCAGUAAUGUGUUCAGUGUGCAAGACUGCGGGAGUCUCACUGCCUUCUAAUGGUCGGUCACUAGAGGGUGACAGUGAGCCACAAACAGCAAACAGUCUCAUCUUUGAACCAGUUUUAUCAAAGAAGCAGAAAAAAGGAGCUGAGAUCAAAUGCACUGAUGGUAAGAAAAAACACUACUGUUUUAUUGUCUUUAAUAAUAGAACUUUUAGAGUUUUGCAUUUUUAUUUUAGAGUUCCAGAGCAGGGAGAUAAGGGGAGUCCAAAAAGCACCAGCAGAGGAGCCUUCAUUCUUUCAAAUGCGGUGUGCAGGUUGUGUGGUACCCUUUGAAAAAGUGACAAGUCGUAACUUUGCAUCCCUUCAAAGCUUCUGCCACAGCAGCUGUGACCUGCAUCGGGUCCUCAAAGAGGCUAUGGAGCGGUUCAGGAAGGCCCGUUUGAACCAAGUGUUUAUGAAAGAGCAUCAGGAUGUCCAGAAGCAGCUCACAAACAGAAGUGCUGUGAGAGUUUCAGCUGCACAAUCCCCCAAAAACCCUCAAAACCGUAAGUCUUUCACUAUUUCCGUCUACAGAUGUGUUUUGGAUUUUGUCUACUACAUUGCUCUGCUGUGA
rnacentral:lncRNA from 1 species